rnacentral:lncRNA from 1 species
UGUUAGCAGCAGCAUAAUAAUAUAAUAAUAAUAGGCAAUAAUAAUCGUAAUGGUUAUUGUGUUAUUAUGAACCAGCUAGACUUUGGCACCUCUGUCUCCACAGGUGCCAACUCUGUUCCAUUCCUCAGCAAAUGUGUUGCUGCCACUGUUUCACCAUGAUGCCCGGGAAAGGAUUUCGUUUGUAUCUUGUUUUGUCUGUAACUGGUUAUUUUUUCCCCUUUGCUUAUUUUGCCAUCACCUCCCUUUCACAUGAGGGAAGAGGAAAGGUGUCAGACUAACCCUCAUCCCUACAGUAAGACAUGUUAUUGCAGCAUUCCACCUGAAAUGAUCUGAUGCCACUGCUAGAGCAUGCACUUAACAUGCCCUUGAGUUCAAGAAUGUUUAAAUAUCACGUAUAAUUUCUACUGGAGUGUUCACGUGUUUGUAAUUUAUUUUUUUUUCUUUUGUCUACUAAAGGGGGAAGAGCUGUAUUUUUUUCCUUUGUGAUCUUUUAUGAACUACUGCUCUUCAGGGACAGAGAUCACUAAUGCAAGAGGGAGAGCAAUUGCUUAUUGAUGUAAUUGUAGCAAAUGAGCGCAGUAUAAAGGGCACGUAACUGACAGCAUCUUUCUGGAAGAUAUGCAGACACUCUCCUGCUUCACUGGGAAUGUUUGUACAUGUUGCCAGAUACUUGUCCUAAGGUGAGUCUGAAAAUACACAACUGGAGCAAAAGUUCAGAACAUGAGUAAUUAAAGAAGGCCUUCUUAUCACUCUUCUCACUUUAUCUCUCUUCUGUUUCAGUGUGUUUGUUUCCUUUUCAUAAAGAAGACAACAGCUCUGGAUGCUGAUAAAACAAAGCUUGGCGGAGUCCCAAGCGCAAAAUCUUGUUCUGGGACUACACUCAGCUUGAUCUUCUCAUUUACCUCACAGGCAUUCAGUCUUCAAAAGCCAGGACCAUGCAAAAGAAUUUUGAAUAGAUUGAACCUGGGGACGUUUCUGGUUCAACUAGUACUAAUGGAAUGUUGGCUUUGGAAAAUGAAAACUCCGCAGUCUGGUGCUGGAAGAAUUAGAAGGAUUUGA